rnacentral:rRNA from 1 species
UACGUAGGGUGCAAGCGUUAAUCGGAAUUACUGGGCGUAAAGCGUGCGCAGGCGGUUUUGUAAGACAGAGGUGAAAUCCCCGGGCUCAACCUGGGAACUGCCUUUGUGACUGCAAGGCUGGAGUGCGGCAGAGGGGGAUGGAAUUCCGCGUGUAGCAGUGAAAUGCGUAGAUAUGCGGAGGAACACCGAUGGCGAAGGCAAUCCCCUGGGCCUGCACUGACGCUCAUGCACGAAAGCGUGGGGAGCAAACAGGAUUAGAUACCCUGGUAGUCCACGCCCUAAACGAUGUCAACUGGUUGUUGGGGAUUAAUUUUCUCAGUAACGAAGCUAACGCGUGAAGUUGACCGCCUGGGGAGUACGGCCGCAAGGUUGAA